rnacentral:rRNA from 1 species
GACGUAGGGCGCGAGCGUUGUUCGGAUUUACUGGGCGUACAGGGAGCGUAGGCGGUUGGAUAAGCCCUCCGUGAAAUCUCCAGGCUUAACCUGGAAAGUGCAGAGGGGACUGUUCAGCUAGAGGAUGGGAGAGGAGCGCGGAAUUCCCGGUGUAGCGGUGAAAUGCGUAGAGAUCGGGAGGAAGGCCGGUGGCGAAGGCGGCGCUCUGGAACAUUUCUGACGCUGAGGCUCGAAAGCGUGGGGAGCAAACAGG